CAUGUUAGUGAAUGUGUCAUUGUCAGAAAGCCCACUAGGAACCGAAAAUAUUUAGCGAGUUUCACACGGACUGUUAUUAGCGGUGCAACUUCCCAUACUCAGAUGCCGGGCCAGAUCACAAUGCGCUCCUUUUCUUCCGACAUGUUGUGCGUUCAUGCACCAAAUACCACAACAUACUUGGAAAGUUUGAUGGCACUGACUGCUUAAUAAUUGUUAUUAAAGAAGUUUGAAGAGGA